rnacentral:rRNA from 1 species
GAUGAACGCUGGCGGCGUGCCUAAUACAUGCAAGUCGAACGAGUUCUCGUUGAUGAUCGGUGCUUGCACCGAGAUUCAACAUGGAACGGGUGGCGGACGGGUGAGUAACACGUGGGUAACCUGCCCUUAAGUGGGGGAUAACAUUUGGAAACAGAUGCUAAUACCGCAUAGAUCCAAGAACCGCAUGGUUCUUGGCUGAAAGAUGGCGUAAGCUAUCGCUUUUGGAUGGACCCGCGGCGUAUUAGCUAGUUGGUGAGGUAACGGCUCACCAAGGCGAUGAUACGUAGCCGAACUGAGAGGUUGAUCGGCCACAUUGGGACUGAGACACGGCCCAAACUCCUACGGGAGGCAGCAGUAGGGAAUCUUCCACAAUGGACGCAAGUCUGAUGGAGCAACGCCGCGUGAGUGAAGAAGGCUUUCGGGUCGUAAAACUCUGUUGUUGGAGAAGAAUGGUCGGCAGAGUAACUGUUGUCGGCGUGACGGUAUCCAACACCUAGCCACGGCUAACUACGUGCCAGCAGCCGCAGCGCAGGCGGUUUUUUAAGUCUGAUGUGAAAGCCCUCGGCUUAACCGAGGAAGCGCAUCGGAAACUGGGAAACUUGAGUGCAGAAGAGGACAGUGGAACUCCAUGUGUAGCGGUGAAAUGCGUAGAUAUAUGGAAGAACACCAGUGGCGAAGGCGGCUGUCUGGUCUGUAACUGACGCUGAGGCUCGAAAGCAUGGGUAGCGAACAGGAUUAGAUACCCUGGUAGUCCAUGCCGUAAACGAUGAAUGCUAGGUGUUGGAGGGUUUCCGCCCUUCAGUGCCGCAGCUAACGCAUUAAGCAUUCCGCCUGGGGAGUACGACCGCAAGGUUGAAACUCAAAGGAAUUGACGGGGGCCCGCACAAGCGGUGGAGCAUGUGGUUUAAUUCGAAGCAACGCGAAGAACCUUACCAGGUCUUGACAUCUUUUGAUCACCUGAGAGAUCAGGUUUCCCCUUCGGGGGCAAAAUGACAGGUGGUGCAUGGUUGUCGUCAGCUCGUGUCGUGAGAUGUUGGGUUAAGUCCCGCAACGAGCGCAACCCUUAUGACUAGUUGCCAGCAUUUAGUUGGGCACUCUAGUAAGACUGCCGGUGACAAACCGGAGGAAGGUGGGGAUGACGUCAAAUCAUCAUGCCCCUUAUGACCUGGGCUACACACGUGCUACAAUGGAUGGUACAACGAGUUGCGAGACCGCGAGGUCAAGCUAAUCUCUUAAAGCCAUUCUCAGUUCGGACUGUAGGCUGCAACUCGCCUACACGAAGUCGGAAUCGCUAGUAAUCGCGGAUCAGCACGCCGCGGUGAAUACGUUCCCGGGCCUUGUACACACCGCCCGUCACACCAUGAGAGUUUGUAACACCCGAAGCCGGUGGCGUAACCCUUUUAGGGAGCGAGCCGUCUAAGGUGGGACAAAUGAUUAGGGUG